rnacentral:rRNA from 1 species
GACGAACGCUGGCGGCGUGCCUAAUACAUGCAAGUCGAACGCAGUGGGGACGGGUGAGUAAUACGUGGGUAACCUUCCAUCAGAGGGGAUAACACUUGGAAACAGGUGCUAAACCGAUACUGAUGGAUGGACUCGCGGUGUAUUAGCUAGUUGGUGAGGUAACGGCUCACCAAGGCCACGAUGCAUAGCGGACCUGAGGGAUGGGUCGGCCACACUGGAACUGAAACACGGCCCAGACUCCUACGGGAGGCAGCAGUAGGGACUCUGCGGCAAUGGACGAAAGUCUGACCGAGCAACGCCGCGUGAGUGAAGAAGGUUUUCGGAUCGUAAAACUCUGUUGUUAGAGAAGCGGUAUCUAACCAGAAAGCCACGGCUAACUACGUGCCAGCAGCCGCGGUAAUUC